UUCUGUCCUCAUAAUCAUAGAUGAUUGCUCCACAUCCAGCACCUAACACCAGUACUCAGUUAAAUUUUUUGCUGAAUAAAUCAAUGAAUGGAGAGGUAAAGAGGAACCAGAAGUUGGGGUUACAGAAGUCACUGAUGGAAGAGUUUCAAGAUAGUAGAAGUGGUCAGCCCUGUUAAGUGACAAGCCAAGGACUGAAGAAAGACUGGCAGAUUUGGCAAUCAGAUGAAGUGACCUGACCAAAGAGCAGCUUGUGUGAAGUAGUGAGGACAGGCGCUGGUCUGCGACUGGUUUAGGAGGAAAUGGAAAUGAAGAAGAAGAGAUAGGAAAGUGGAGAUUAUAUGAUGACAAGUAUCAAGAUAAAAAUGAACACAUUUGGCCUGCUACCUGAAUUUUUUAAAUCGGCUCACCAAAAAAUAUCAGGCUUAUUGAAAUAUUGGAAUAUCUG
rnacentral:lncRNA from 10 species